CAAAUGUCUUGAGUGACUUCCCUGUUAGUGUUUGGAAGGGCCAUCGCUCAAUGGAUAAAAGUUACUCUAGGGAUAACAGGCUGAUCUUCCCCAAGAGCUCACAUUGAUGGUAAGGUUUGUCACCUCGAUGUUGGCUUUUUACCACCUGGGACUGUAGUAUGUUUCAAGGGUUGGGUUGUUCGCCCAUUAAAGUAGUAAGUGAACUGAGUUCAGAACGUCAUGAGACAGUUUGGUCUAUAUCUGGUGUGGGUGUUAGAGUAUUGAGAGGACCUUUUCCUAGUAUAAGAGGACUAGGAAGGAUGCACCUCUGGUGUACUAGUUAUCAUGCCCAUGGUAAACACUAGGUAGCCAAGUGCAAAGUAGAUAAUUGCUGAAAGCAUCUAAGUAGUAAGCCAACCCCAAGAAAUAAAAAUUUUCAAAUGACUAACAUAGAAUAUCACCUGGAUUGUGUUGGUGAGUGAUCUCAUUCAAAUUAAAUUUGUG
rnacentral:ncRNA from 1 species